rnacentral:rRNA from 1 species
UACGAAGGGGGCUAGCGUUGCUCGGAAUCACUGGGCAUAAAGCGCACGUAGGCGGAUUGCUAAGUCAGGGGUGAAAUCCUGGAGCUCAACUCCAGAACUGCCUUUGAUACAGCAAGUCUUGAGUUCGAGAGAGGUGGGUGGAAUUCCUAGUGUAGAGGUGAAAUUCGUAGAUAUUAGGAAGAACACCGGUGGCGAAGGCGGCCCACUGGCUCGAUACUGACGUUGAGGUGCGAAAAGCGUGGGGAGCAAACAGG